rnacentral:rRNA from 1 species
AGUGAACGCUGGCGGUAGGCCUAACACAUGCAAGUCGAACGGCAGCACAGGAAAGCUUGCUCUCUGGGUGGCGAGUGGCGGACGGGUGAGGAAUACAUCGGAAUCUACUCUGUCGUGGGGGAUAACGUAGGGAAACUUACGCUAAUACCGCAUACGACCUACGGGUGAAAGCAGGGGACCUUAGGGCCUUGCGCGAUUGAAUGAGCCGAUGUCGGAUUAGCUAGUUGGCGGGGUAAAGGCCCACCAAGGCGACGAUCCGUAGCUGGUCUGAGGGGAUGAUCAGCCAAACUGGAACUGAGACACGGUCCGGACUCCUACGGGAGGCAGCAGUGGGGAAUAUUGGACAAUGGGCGCAAGCCUGAUCCAGCCAUACCGCGUGGGUGAAGAAGGCCUUCGGGUUGUAAAGCCCUUUUGUCGGGAAAGAAAUCCAUCUGGUUAAUACCCGGAUGGGAUGACGGUACCCAAAGAAUAAGCACCGGCUAACUUCGUGCCAGCCGCCGCAGUAA